rnacentral:rRNA from 1 species
AUAAAAAACCAACGCCCUUCGGGGCUCCUUGGUGAAUCAUAAUAACUAAGCGAAUCGCAUGGCCUUGCGCCGGCGAUGGUUCAUUCAAAUUUCUGCCCUAUCAACUUUCGAUGGUAAGAUAGUGGCUUACCAUGGUGGCAACGGGUAACGGGGAAUUAGGGUUCGAUUCCGGAGAGGGAGCCUGAGAAACGGCUACCACAUCCAAGGAAGGCAGCAGGCGCGCAAAUUACCCAAUCCCGACACGGGGAGGUAGUGACAAUAAAUACUGAUACGGGGCUCUUUUGGGUCUCGUAAUUGGAAUGAGUACAAUCUAAGUCCCUUAACGAGGAACAAUUGGAGGGCAAGUCUGGUGCCAGCAGCCGCGGUAAUUCCAGCUCCAAUAGCGUAUAUUAAAGUUGUUGCAGUUAAAAAGCUCGUAGUUGAACCUUGGGUCUGGCUGACCGGUCCGCCUCACCGCGAGUACUGGUUCGGCUGGGCCUUUCCUUCUGGGGAACCUCAUGGCCUUCACUGGCUGUGG